UGGGGAUUAGCCAAGCGGUAAGGCAACGGACUUUGACUCCGUCAUUCUCAGGUUCGAUCCCUGAAUCCCCAG
rfam:Paenibacillus sp. Leaf72 contig_10, whole genome shotgun sequence.